AUCCAGACUCCUACGGGAGGCAGCAGUGGGGAAUAUUGCACAAUGGGGGAAACCCUGAUGCAGCGACGCCGCGUGAGUGAAGAAGUAUUUCGGUAUGUAAAGCUCUAUCAGCAGGGAAGAAAAUGACGGUACCUGACUAAGAAGCCCCGGCUAACUACGUGCCAGCAGCCGCGGUAAUACGUAGGGGGCAAGCGUUAUCCGGAUUUACUGGGUGUAAAGGGAGCGUAGACGGCAUGGCAAGUCAGAUGUGAAAGCCCGGGGCUCAACCGCGGGACUGCUUUUGAAACUGAGUAGCUAGAGUGCAGGAGAGGUAAGUGGAAUUCCUAGCGUAGCGGUGAAAUGCGUAGAUAUUAGGAGGAACACCGGUGGCGAAGGCGGCUUACUGGACUGUAACUGACGUUGAGGCUCGAAAGCGUGGGGAGCAAACAGGAUUAGAUACCCUAGUAG
rnacentral:rRNA from 1 species